AGCGUUGUGUCAGAGAAAGGAGAGAUGCCAAAACCCCAGCCAAAACACUGGAGCCAAGCACCCGUGGAUAUGGGAAAGUUGCCUUCUGGAUCCAAGCGUUGGAGGGCUCUGGGAGGCCCACCUACCUCAGGAACAGAUAUCUUCAUGAUUAUGAUGUGGAAGAGGGGAAAAAAGAGUGUGUGAUGCUGAGGGAGAAGAAAAUGGUCCUUGGAAAAACUGAUUUCUGAAAAGAAAAGUAGCUGAAGCCUCUAAUAAUUGUUUUUGAGAACCCAGUGAGGUACCCAACACUGCUGCUAGCUCUCAGGAAGCUCUACAAUGUGGUGAAAAAUACCCAGGAGCAGAAAUCCCACCAAGAAGUUGACCCUCUGAAUCCCACCGAGAAAUGAACCUCCUGAAUGGCAGCACAGAAGAGCUGGCAAAGGCUUCCAUGAAGAAAGAAGUGCCUGUGGAGGUAGGAGUCUUUUCCUGUGAACCUUGUUGAUCUAGUUUAGAGAUGGGACUUUCCCAACCCCUUGAACCUGACUCUUUCUGCUGUGCAGCUGAAUACCUGACCUGGUGCCUAGAAUUGCUUUUGAUCUGUACCAGUCAGAGACAAACAUCUUGCUUCUGUUUGUGUCUCAAAACAUGUCUAGAAACAGCUUUUGAGUAAAUUAACCUGUUUUCCAGUGUACAACUUUUCCCUGGACUGAAAUUUCUAAUGAUUAUUUCCAGAUUUUCCUUACUCUCAGCUGCUUUAGUUUUGGGGGUUUUUUUGCUUUUUUUUUUUUUUUUAGGUGGCUCAAGGCCCCAUCCAACAUCUACCUUCUUUC
rnacentral:lncRNA from 1 species